rnacentral:rRNA from 1 species
GACGAACGCUGGCGGCGUGCUUAACACAUGCAAGUCGAACGCUGAAGCUCAGCUUUUGUUGGGUGGAUGAGUGGCGAACGGGUGAGUAACACGUGAGUAACCUGCCUCCUUCUUUGGGAUAACGCCCGGAAACGGGUGCUAAUACUGGAUAUUCACUGGUCUUCGCAUGGGGGUUGGUGGAAAGGGUUUUUCUGGUGGGGGAUGGGCUCGCGGCCUAUCAGCUUGUUGGUGGGGUGAUGGCCUACCAAGGCUUUGACGGGUAGCCGGCCUGAGAGGGUGACCGGUCACAUUGGGACUGAGAUACGGCCCAGACUCCUACGGGAGGCAGCAGUGGGGAAUAUUGCACAAUGGGCGCAAGCCUGAUGCAGCGACGCCGCGUGAGGGAUGGAGGCCUUCGGGUUGUGAACCUCUUUCGCUCAUGGUCAAGCCGCAACAAUGGUUGUGGUGAGGGUAGUGGGCAAAGAAGCGCCGGCUAACUACGUG